UGCUUAGUACGGCGAGUGAGCGGCAAAAGCUCAAUUUGAAAUCUGGUACCUUUGGUGCCCGAGUUGUAAUUUGGAGAGUACCACUUUGGGACUGUACUUUGCCUAUGUUCCUUGGAACAGGACGUCAUGGAGGGUGAGAAUCCCGUGUGGCGAGGGUGUCAGUUCUUUGUAAAGGGUGCUCGAAGAGUCGAGUUGUUUGGGAAUGCAGCUCUAAGUGGGUGGUAAAUUCCAUCUAAAGCUAAAUACAGGCGAGAGACCGAUAGCGAACAAGUACAGUGAUGGAAAGAUGAAAAGAACUUUGAAAAGAGAGUGAAAAAGUACGUGAAAUUGUUGAAAGGGAAGGGCAUUUGAUCAGACAUGGUGUUUUGCGCCCCUUGCCUCUCGUGGGCUUGGGACUCUCGCAGCU
rnacentral:rRNA from 1 species